UGGGGAAUAUUGCACAAUGGGCGCAAGCCUGAUGCAGCAACGCCGCGUGCGGGAUGACGGCCUUCGGGUUGUAAACCGCUUUCAUCCAUGACGAAGCGCAAGUGACGGUAGUGGGAGAAGAAGCACCGGCUAACUACGUGCCAGCAGCCGCGGUGAUACGUAGGGUGCGAGCGUUGUCCGGAAUUAUUGGGCGUAAAGAGCUUGUGGGCGGUUGAUCACGUCGGAAGUGAAAUUCCAGGGCUUAACUCUGGGCUUGCUUUCGAUACGGGUUGACUUGAGGAAUGUAGGGGAGAAUGGAACUCUCGGUGGAGCGGUGGAAUGCGCAGAUAUCGGGAAGAACACCAGUGGCGAAGGCGGUUCUCUGGACAUUUCCUGACGCUGAGAAGCGAAAGCGUGGGGAGCAAACAGGCUUAGAUACCCUGGUAGUCCACGCCGUAAACGGUGGGUACUAGGUGUGGGU
rnacentral:rRNA from 1 species